UUCUUUUCAUAGGUCUUUUUGCUUUGUUGGUUGUUCUAUUCCGGUCUGGUUACUCAGAUCACUUUAAGUUUGAGUAAUAGAAUAGUCGUUUGUUGUCCAAAAAAAACACAUAUAACUGAAUAAUUAUUUUUUUCGAAACUUUCAUCAAAAAAAAAAACAUUAUUAGUCUCGAAAAUUUGGAUUAGUAUAGGUAAUUGUGUUCAUUUAGUGAAUGCUAAUUUUGAGUAGAGAGAAAGAUUUGG
rnacentral:lncRNA from 1 species